rnacentral:rRNA from 1 species
UACGAAGGGGGCUAGCGUUGCUCGGAAUGACUGGGCGUAAAGGGCGCGUAGGCGGAUUAUGUAGUCAGGCGUGAAAUUCCCGGGCUUAACCUGGGGGCUGCGUUUGAUACGCAUAGUCUAGAGUGCGGAAGAGGGUCGUGGAAUUCCCAGUGUAGAGGUGAAAUUCGUAGAUAUUGGGAAGAACACCGGUGGCGAAGGCGGCGACCUGGUCCGCAACUGACGCUGAGGCGCGAAAGCGUGGGGAGCAAACAGG